rnacentral:misc_RNA from 1 species
UACAGUCAAACUUUGUUAUCUCGAACUAGACAGGACUGUUUAAAAAUUUCGAGUAUCUGAGAAUUCGAGAUAUCAAGGGUGAAAUACUUUUUAAAAAGAAGCUGAUACUUGCAAAUCACUUUGACAUUUCUAUUGUAUUGGAGAUAUCAGAAGAAGACAAGUUCAACUGUAAUUGUAUUAGUUCAGUCAGGUUAUCAUUGAAAAUGAUAAUAAUGUAGAAUAACAGUCAUACAAUGGAUUUGUUAUGUAUGCGCUAUAGGCAAUCGCAUGUUUUAUUUGUACAUGUUAUUAGGGACUAGUAAUUUUGAUUUUUUUUUCAUGUAGAAAAUUCUUUUUAAAGAAAAUGCUGAGAGAGAGAGAGAGAGAGAGAGAGAGAGAGAGAGAGAGAGAGAAUUUAUUCUCUAAUAAUUAUUCUUAAUUAUUUAACCAGAGAGGGAGAGAGAGUAAAUUUUAUUUGUGCAUAAUGUAAGGAAAUAAAACAUUAAGUGCUGAUACACGACAAUAAAAAGACUGUACU